rnacentral:tRNA from 1 species
GGGGGGAUAGCUUAGUGGUAGAACAUGAGCUUUCUGUGCACAACGUCCUGGGUUCAAUCCCCAAUGCCUCCU